UACGUAGGGUGCAAGCGUUGCCCGGAUUUAUUGGGCGUAAAGGGCGCGUAGGCGGCUCUGCACGUUCGUUGUGAAAUCGCCCGGCUCAACUGGGCGGGGUCAGCGGAUACGGCAGAGCUUGAGCAAGCUAGGGGGCAAUGGAAUUCCCGGUGUAGUGGUGGAAUGCGUAGAGAUCGGGAGGAACACCUGUGGCGAAGGCGGCUCGCUGGGCCGAUCCUGACGCUGAGACGCGAAGGCGUGGGGAGCGAACGGG
rnacentral:rRNA from 1 species